GCGCUGUUGUCUGUCUGUCUGUUUGUUGUUUCCUUUUUAGCCAUGGAAUUGUCAGUUUAUAUUCGACUUAUGAGUUUGCCUCCCUUCUAACCAUAAAUCAUGUGUACAUAUCAAUUUCCAUUUGAAGAUAUAUGUUUAUAAGGGUAACUACGACACGUUUGGGCACACACUACCUACACCUAUAACAUCAUGAUAAUGUGUAC
rnacentral:lncRNA from 1 species